GCCCCUAUGGCGUAGUGGUAGCGCGUGUCACUUGUAUUCUUGUAUCAAGGUUAUGACAAGGUCUCUCGUUCGAUCCGGGAUGGGGGCA